GCCCAGUGCUCCUCUUCAGUUUCAGGGGCAGCCUUCUCAUGGAGACUCCCAGGUCUAGAUGAUGGACCGUGCUUGGUUCUUCCCAGAAAGAUCUACAUGUGGAAAGAAGGCACUUCCUCAAGGGCUCCAUGAAGGCAAGAGUGCCCAGGGCUCCCUGGCAUCAUCAUGGGGCUCCGGCUGUGAGAGCAGAAGGAAAGUGACUCGGAAGAUAAAAACCAAUAGGGUUGGUGAUGAUCGGACUGCGGACCCUGGUGAUUGGAUGUGUGGAUCAGCUGGUGGUGGCCCACGGCUGAGAUGGGUCUCCUGUGAAAUGUGGGUGCUUUGUGUCCUGCUAACAACGUACGAAGGAUGCAUGAAGGGCAGCUUCAACCAUGUAUCUUAAUCUCUGAACAGGAAAACUCGAAGUUCUUUUUUUUAAGUUGAAGAUUUAAACUGAGCAUUCUGCUUUUAUGUGGCAAUGUCAAGAAAGCCUAUAUUCUGUAUUUGGGGUUGUGUGGAUUGCCCUGGAAUUAGAGCGGACU